rnacentral:rRNA from 1 species
AUUGAACGCUGGCGGCAGGCCUAACACAUGCAAGUCGAGCGGGGUUUUCGGACCUAGCGGCGGACGGGUGAGUAAUGCGUAGGAAGCUGCCCGAUAGAGGGGGAUACCAGUUGGAAACGACUGUUAAUACCGCAUAAUGUCUACGGACCAAAGUGUGGGACCUUCGGGCCACAUGCUAUCGGAUGCGCCUACGUGGGAUUAGCUAGUUGGUGAGGUAAUGGCUCACCAAGGCGACGAUCUCUAGCUGGUUUGAGAGGAUGAUCAGCCACACUGGAACUGGGACACGGUCCAGACUCCUACGGGAGGCAGCAGUGGGGAAUAUUGGACAAUGGGCGCAAGCCUGAUCCAGCCAUGCCGCGUGUGUGAAGAAGGCCUUCGGGUUGUAAAGCACUUUCAGCGAGGAGGAAGGGAUGUAUGUAAAUAGCAUGCAUUUUUGACGUUACUCGCAGAAGAAGCACCGGCUAACUCUGUGCCAGCCGCCGCCGUAAGAC